UCUCUCUCUUUCUACUUUCUUGAUUUCUUGCGGACCAAUGAAGGAUCCAAGUACAUAGUGGGUUUGGGUUGAUGCUGGUAGAGUCCUCAAUUGGCCAUCACUAUGCAAUUAGGGGUCCCAAGCUAGUAUUAUACAACCAUCUAUCUUAUUUGGAUCUUGGACAUUUAUGAUUGUUUUGAUGACGAAGCCUGGCUCUAUAGGUAAACAAUUUUCUGGGUA
rnacentral:lncRNA from 1 species